rnacentral:rRNA from 1 species
GCCAGCCACACUGGGACUGCGACACGGCCCAGACUCCUACGGGGGGCAGCAAUUAGGAAUCUUGCGCAAUGGGCGAAAGCCUGACGCAGCGACGUCGCGUGAACGAUGAAGUCUUUCGGGAUGUAAAGUUCUUUUCUGAGGGAAGAAGGAUGUGACGGUACCUCAGGAAUAAGCCCCGGCUAACUACGUGCCAGCAGCCGCGGUAAUACGUAUGGGGCGAGCGUUGUCCGAAUUUACUGGGCGUAAAGCGCGCGUAGGCGGACUCUUAAGUUGGUGGUGAAAUGCCGAGGCUCAACCUCGGAACUGCCUUCAAAACUGGGAGUCUAGAGGCUUGGAGAGGGAAGUGGAAUUCCUGGUGUAGCGGUGAAAUGCGUAGAUAUCAGGAGGAACACCGAUGACGAAGGCAGCUUCCUGGCCAUGUCCGGACGCUGAGGUGCGAAAGCUAGGGUAGCGAACGGGAUUAGAUACCCCGGUAGUCCUAGCCGUAAACGAUGGAUACUAGGUGUUAGAGGUAUCGACCCCUCUAGUGCCGAAGCAAACGCAUUAAGUAUCCCGCCUGGGGAGUGCGGCCGCAAGGUUGAAACUCAAAGGAAUUGACGGGGGCCCGCACAAGCGGUGGAGCAUGUGGUUUAAUACGUCACUAACCGUAGAACCUCACCCAGGCUUGACAUCUGCUGAAAGCGCCUGAAAGGGUGGCCCCGGUAUUUUUAUAUCGCAGCAAGACAGGUGUUGCAUGGCUGUCGUCAGCUCGUGUCGUGAGAUGUUGGGUUAAGUCCCGCAACGAGCGCAACCCUCAUCCGAUGUUGCCAGCGUAAAGUCGGGAACUCUUCGGAAACUGCCCGUGCAAGCGGGAGGAAGGUGGGGAUGACGUCAAGUCAGCAUGGCCCUUACGCCUGGGGCUACACACAUGCUACAAUGGAUGUAAACAAUGGGCAGCAAGACCGCGAGGUGGAGCAAAUCUCAAAAAUACAUCCUCAGUUCGGAUUGCAGUCUGCAACUCGACUGCAUGAAGUCGGAAUCGCUAGUAACCGCAGGUCAGCUAAACUGCGGUGAUACGUUCCCGGGCCUUGUACACACCGCCCGUCACGCCACCUGAGUUGUCUGCACCCGAAGUCGAUGGCCCAACCGCAAGGGGGGAGUCGCCGAAGGUGUGGGGAGCGAGGGGGACGAAGUCG